GACGAACGCUGGCGGCGUGCCUAAUACAUGCAAGUUGAGCGAUGAAGAUUGGUGCUUGCACCAAUUUGAAGAGCAGCGAACGGGUGUGUAACGCGUGGGGAAUCUGCCUUUGAGCGGGGGACAACAUUUGGAAACGAAUGCUAAUACCGCAUAACAACUUUAAACAUAAGUUUUAAGUUUGAAAGAUGCAAUUGCAUCACUCAAAGAUGAUCCCGCGUUGUAUUAGCUAGUUGGUGAGGUAAAGGCUCACCAAGGCGAUGAUACAUAGCCGACCUGAGAGGGUGAUCGGCCACAUUGGGACUGAGACACGGCCCAAACUCCUACGGGAGGCAGCAGUAGGGAAUCUUCGGCAAUGGACGAAAGUCUGAACGAGCAACGCCGCGUGAGUGAAGAAGGUUUUCGGAUCGUAAAACUCUGUUGGUAGAGAAGAACGUUGGUGAGAGUGGAAAGCUCAUCAAGUGACGGUAACUACCCAGAAAGGGACGGCUAACUACGUG
rnacentral:rRNA from 1 species